rnacentral:rRNA from 1 species
ACUACGGGGGGCUGCAGUGGGGAAUAUUGCACAAUGGGCGCAAGCCUGAUGCAGCCAUGCCGCGUGUGUGAAGAAGGCCUUCGGGUUGUAAAGCACUUUCAGCGGGGAGGAAGGCGGUGAGGUUAAUAACCUCAUCGAUUGACGUUACCCGCAGAAGAAGCACCGGCUAACUCCGUGCCAGCAGCCGCGGUAAUACGGAGGGUGCAAGCGUUAAUCGGAAUUACUGGGCGUAAAGCGCACGCAGGCGGUCUGUCAAGUCGGAUGUGAAAUCCCCGGGCUCAACCUGGGAACUGCAUUCGAAACUGGCAGGCUAGAGUCUUGUAGAGGGGGGUAGAAUUCCAGGUGUAGCGGUGAAAUGCGUAGAGAUCUGGAGGAAUACCGGUGGCGAAGGCGGCCCCUUGGACAAAGACUGACGCUCAGGUGCGAAAGCGUGGGGAGCAAACAGGAUUAGAUACCCGUGUAGUC